rnacentral:rRNA from 1 species
UAUAGUGUGAACUGAAUCAUCUUAGUAACACUAGAAAACAAAUCAAACGAGAUACUGUAAGUAGUGGCGAAUGAAAGCAGUUUAGGCUUAGUAAUUUUUGUGAAAAUUCUUUGAAUCAAUAUUAAAGUACCUAAGAAGGUUUAAGUCCUGUAAAAGUUGUAAAAAAUUACGAUUUUAAGUAUUACGAUUUAAUUUGUAUGAAUAUGGGAGGACCACCUUCCAAGCUGUAGUAGCUUUUUUAACCGAUAGUGUACGAGUACCGUGAGGGAAAGAUGAAAAAUUCCGUUUAGGAUCAUUAAAAGUAAAGUUGAAUGCUUCAUUUUUUGAAGUUUUAUUAAUAUAACAUAAAAUGACAAAGUGCCUUUUGCAUAAUGAGUCAGUAAGUUAAUAUGGUAUAGCAAGCUUAAGUAAAAAUAUGUAGGCACGUUUUAAGUUAUAUUUAUUAAACCUGAAGUCAAGUGAUCUAACUGUGAGCAGGUUGAAGAUUCAGUAACAUGUUUUAGAAGACCGAACUCGUAUAUGUAGCAAAAUAUUGAGAUGACUUGUAGUUAGGGAUGAAAGAUCAAUCAAACUUGAUGAUAGCCGGUUUUUCACGAAACGUAUUUAAGUACUACAUCAAUAAAAGUAAACUGCAGGUAUAGUAAAAAUUAAAUGAAGGGGCUUUUGUUCUACUGAAUUUAGUUUAACUUCAAAUUGUAGUUUAAUUUUGUAUUGAUAGACAGUCUUUAAGCGAUAAGGUUUAAAGACGAGAAGGAAACAACCCAGAUCAUUUGUUAAGGUCUCAAAAUUAUAGCUUAGUGUGGAAAAUUUUUUAUGAGACAAAUAAUUUAAAUAGGCUUAGAAGCAGCCUUUUACUGGAGAAAGCGUUUUAGCUCAUUGUUACUCUAUAAAAAUUUAAAAUAAAGGAGGCUUAAAGUUAUAUACCGAAACAAUGAAUCAAAUUUUUAAUUUGAUAGUAGUGAAACGUUCUGUAAAUUGUUUUAUUAAUGAAAAUUGAAUAAAACUUGAUCAGAAGCGCUAAUGCUGACAUGAGUAACGUAAACUAUGUGUAUUUAAAAUCAUAGUCACCUAUUACUGAAGAGUUUCAACGUAAUUUUAAGUACGUUGAGUUAGUCGGUCCUUAAGAGAAGAGUAAAAACUAUACUUGAAAGGUGUUUAUCCAGUUGUAUAUGACAAAUCACAAGUUUGUCGUGCAUUAGUUAAUUAAAAACAGUAAUGCUUUUAGGUUAGUUUUACUAUAUUUUUAACUUCGAGAAAAACUUGCAACAUUGAUAUAUUGACCGUAUUUAAUCCGACGCAGGUAAGUAAGUAGAAAAUACUAAGGUGUAUGGGAGAAUUAAGUUUAAGGAACUUGGCAAAUUUACUCUGUAAGUUCGCAAUAAAGAGUACCGUAUUAUAUUUACGGUGUCACAAAAUAGAAAGUAACGACUGGUUAUCAAAACCACAAGACUCUGCUAAUUGGUUAACAAGAUGUAUAGAGUUUGACACCUGCCCGGUGCUUGAAGGCGAAUAAAUGUAUGUUUACGCGUAUAUUUUAAUCCCAAGUAAACGGCGGUUCUAACUAUAAGAAUCCUUAGGUAGCGAAAUUCCUUGACGGGUAAGUUCCGUCCUGCAUGAAUGGUGUCACGAUUGCUUUACUGUCUCUAAUUUAAACCCAGUGAAAUUACAUUGUCUAUGAAAAUGUAGGCGUUUUACAGUAAGACGGAAAGACCCUAGAUCCUUUACUUUAACUUUGUAUUGAAAAAAGUUACGGUUUUAUGUAGUUUAUAAGUGGGAGUAUUAAAAAUACUUUAAUGAAAUACCACUUGAAAUAUAACUUUUUUCUUUAUUUGUUCUACUGAAUAAAAACAGUAUAAAGUCGGAAGUUUACUUGGGAUGAGGACCUCCUAAAAUGUAACGGAGGUGUACAUAAAAUAAGUUUUAAUUAUUUUUUUUAAAUAAUUAAAUGUAUAAUGACAGUAAACUUAUUUGAUAGUGAGAUUGAUAAAUCGAACUGAGAUGAAAGUCAGUCAUAGUGAUCCGGUAAAUAUGUGUGGAAAUUUUACCGCUUAACAAAUAAAAGGAACUCUAGGGAUAACAGAUUCAUCAUGGUUAAGAGAUCCUAUUGAUGCCAUGGUUUGAUACCUCGAUGUCGACUCAUCUUAUCCUGGAUUUGAAGCAGAUUCCAAGGGUCUAGUUGUUCGCUAGUGAAGAAGGUACGUGAGUUGGGUUCAGAACGUCGUGAGACAGUUCGGUCCCUAUCUGCUGUAAAAAAGAAAAGAGAAAAGUUUAUUUUUAGUACGAGAGGACCAAAAUAAGUUAACCUCUAGUUUGUUGAUUGUUAUACCAUUAGCAUGUCAAUUAGCCACGUUAGUAUUGUUUAUAUGCUGAAAGAAUCAAUUGCAUGAAAACAUAUUUUACUCUUUUCGAGAAUAACCUAAAAGAUUAUUAGAUAGAUCGGUUUACUAUAUUUUUUAGUAAUAAAGUUGUAGUUAAAUACGAAUUUAUUCAUAAAUAGAUCCA